GAAGGUAUAGCUUGGUGGUAGAGUGCAUGCUUAGCAUGCAUGAGGUCCUGCAUUCAAUCUCCUGUACCUCCA
rnacentral:tRNA from 1 species